UUCAUGAAGCUGGAAUUGCUAGUAAUGGCAGGUCAGCAUACUGCCGUGAAUACGUUCCCGGGCCUUGUACACACCGCCCGUCACACCAUGAGAGUUGGGAAUACCCGAAGCCUGUGAGCUAACAUAUGAGGCAGCAGUCGAAGGUAGAAUCAAUGAUUGGGGUGAAGUCGUAACAAGGUACC
rnacentral:rRNA from 1 species